rnacentral:rRNA from 1 species
AGUCACUGACAUUAGAUACCCGCGUAGUCCAGGGUGUAAACGCUGCAGACUUGGUGUCGGAAGUCCUUUGGGGGCAUUCAGUGCCGGAGAGAAGUUGUUAAGUCUGCUACUUGGGGAGUACGUCCGCAAGGAUGAAACUUAAAGGAAUUGGCGGGGGAGCACCACAACGGGUGGAGCCUGCGGUUUAAUUGGACUCAACGCCGGAAAUCUCACCGGAUAGGACAGACAUAUGAUAGUCGGGCUGAAGACUCUACUUGAUGAUCUG